rnacentral:rRNA from 1 species
CCUACGGGGGGCAGCAGUGGGGAAUAUUGCACAAUGGGCGCAAGCCUGAUGCAGCCAUGCCGCGUGUGUGAAGAAGGCCUUCGGGUUGUAAAGCACUUUCAGCGGGGAGGAAGGCGGUGAGGUUAAUAACCUCAUCGAUUGACGUUACCCGCAGAAUAAGCACCGGCUAACUCCAUGCCAGCAGCCGCGGUAAUACGGAGGGUGCAAGCGUUAAUCGGAAUUACUGGGCGUAAAGCGCACGCAGGCGGUCUGUCAAGUCGGAUGUGAAAUCCCCGGGCUCAACCUGGGAACUGCAUUCGAAACUGGCAGGCUAGAGUCUUGUAGAGGGGGGUAGAAUUCCAGGUGUAGCGGUGAAAUGCGUAGAGAUCUGGAGGAAUACCGGUGGCGAAGGCGGCCCCCUGGACAAAGACUGACGCUCAGGUGCGAAAGCGUGGGGAGCAAACAGGAUUAGAUACCCGUGUAGUC